rnacentral:rRNA from 1 species
UACGGAGGGGGCAAGCGUUGUUCGGAAUUACUGGGCGUAAAGGGCGCGCAGGCGGCUGCUCAAGUCAGGCGUGAAAGGCCUGGGCUCAACCCGGGAAUUGCGCUUGAGACUGGGCUGGCUUGAGUGCGGGAGAGGAUGGUGGAAUUCCCAGUGUAGAGGUGAAAUUCGUAGAUAUUGGGAAGAACACCAGUGGCGAAGGCGGCUCACUGGCCCGGUACUGACGCUGAGGUGCGAAAGCGUGGGGAGCAAACAGG